rnacentral:rRNA from 1 species
UCCUACGGGAGGCAGCAGGCGCGAAAACUCUACAAUGCAGGCAACUGCGAUAGGGGAACAUCGAGUGAUCCUCAUAUUGGGGGUCUGUCCACCCGUCUAAAAAACGGGUGUUAGCAAGGGCCGGGCAAGACCGGUGCCAGCCGCCGCGGUAAUACCGGCGGCUCGAGUGGUGGCCGAUAUUAUUGAGUCUAAAGGGUCCGUAGCCGGCUUUGCAAGUCUCUCGGGAAAUCCAGCGGCUUAACCGUUGGUCGUCCGGGGGGUACUACAUUGCUUGGGACUGGGAGAGGUAGGAGGUACUCAGGGGGUAGGAGUGAAAUCCUGUAAUCCUUUGGGGACCACCGGUGGCGAAGGCGUCCUACCAGAACAGGUCCGACGGUGAGGGACGAAAGCUAGGGGCACGAACCGGAUUAGAUACCCCGGUAGU